rnacentral:ncRNA from 1 species
UAUCUGGUUGAUCCUGCCAGUAGUCAUAUGCUUGUCUCAAAGAUUAAGCCAUGCAUGUCUAAGUAUAAGCACUUGUACUGUGAAACUGCGAAUGGCUCAUUAAAUCAGUUAUCGUUUAUUUGAUUGUACCUUUACUACUUGGAU